GACGAACGCUGGCGGCGUGCUUAACACAUGCAAGUCGAACGGAAAGGCCCUGCUUUUGUGGGGUGCUCGAGUGGCGAACGGGUGAGUAACACGUGAGUAACCUGCCCUUGACUUUGGGAUAACUUCAGGAAACUGGGGCUAAUACCGGAUAGGAGCUCCUGCUGCAUGGUGGGGGGUGGAAAGUUUAGGCGGUUGGGGAUGGACGCGCGGCUGAUCAGCUUGUUGGUGGGGUAGUGGCUUACCAAGGCUUUGGCGGGUAGCCGGCCUGAGAGGGUGACCGGCCACAUUGGGACUGAGAGACGGCCCAGACUCCUACGUGAGGCAGAAGUGGGGAAUAUUGCACAAUGGGCGGAAGCCUGAUGCAGCAACGCCGCGUUCGGGAUGACGGCCUUCGGGUUGUAAACCGCUUUCGCCUGUGACGAAGCGUGAGUGACGGUAAUGGGUAAAGAAGCACCGGCUAACUACGUG
rnacentral:rRNA from 1 species